AUGGCUGUCGUCAGCUCGUGUCGUGAGAUGUUGGGUUAAGUCCCGCAACAGCGCAACCCCUCGCAUUCAGUUGCCAUCGGGUGAAGCCGGGCACUCUGGAAGGACUGCCAUCGACAAGAUGGAGGAAGGUGGGGACGACGUCAAGUCAUCAUGGCCCUUAUGUCCAGGGCGACACACGUGCUACAAUGGCCGGCACAACGGGAAGCGAGUUCGCGAGGACGAGCGGAUCCCUUAAAGCCGGUCGCAGUUCGGAUUGAAGUCUGCAACUCGACUUCAUGAAGCUGGAAUCGCUAGUAAUCGCAGAUCAGCCAAGCUGCGGUGAAUACGUUCCCGGGCCUU
rnacentral:rRNA from 1 species